GGGGGCGUGGCGCAAUGGCUAGCGUGUUUGGCUUCGAUGCUCUUUACGUAAACCGACCACCAAAAGGCUGCAGGUUCGAGUCCUGCCGCUCUCA